rnacentral:rRNA from 1 species
GACGAACGCUGGCGGCGUGCUUAACACAUGCAAGUCGAACGGAAAGGCCCUGCUUUUGUGGGGUGCUCGAGUGGCGAACGGGUGAGUAACACGUGAGUAACCUGCCCUUGACUUUGGGAUAACUUCAGGAAACUGGGGCUAAUACCGGAUAGAAGCUCCUGCUGCAUGGUGGGGGUUGGAAAGUUUCGGCGGUUGGGGAUGGACUCGCGGCUUAUCAGCUUGUUGGUGGGGUAGUGGCUUACCAAGGCUUUGACGGGUAGCCGGCCUGAGAGGGUGACCGGCCACAUUGGGACUGAGAGACGGCCCAGACUCCUACGGGAGGCAGCAGUGGGGAAUAUGGCACAAUGGGCGGAAGCCGGAUGCAGCAACGCCGCGUGCGGGAUGACGGCCUUCGGGUUGUAAACCGCUUUCGCCUGUGACGAAGCGGGAGUGACGGUAAUGGGUAAAGAAGCACCGGCUAACUACGUG